UCAGACGAUGCGUCAUGCAUAUCAAUAAGCGGAGGAAAAGGAACUAACAAGGAUUCCCCUUAGUAACGGCGAGUGAAGCGGGAAGAGCUCAAAUUUGAAAUCUUAAAGGGUCCCUUUCACGAAUUGUAGUUUAAAGAAGUGUUUUCUGUUACGAUCGUAAUAUAAGUUCUUUGGAAUAGGACAUCACAGAGGGUGAGAAUCCCGUCUAUGAUUGCGAUUUGUAGCUUUGUGAUACACUUUCAAAGAGUCGGGUUGUUUGGGAAUGCAGCCUCAAAACGGGAGGUAAAUUUCUUCUAAGGCUAAAUAUUGGCGAGAGACCGAUAGCGAACAAGUACCGUGAGGGAAAGAUGAAAAGAACUUUGAAAAGAGAGUUAAACAGUACGUGAAAUUGUCAAAAGGGAAGCGUUUGACACCAGUGUUGUUUUCUGAAAAUCAACCUCUGUUAGCUUUAUGCAUAGUUUGUUUAGACCUAAUCAGCUAUCUUGCAUGUUCUAUUGUUUGCAGUGGUGCACUUUUCAGUUUACAGGUCAACAUCAGUUUUUUUUACCGUAAAAAAGUUAAAGAAAGGUAGCUCAUGGCUCCGGUUGUGAGUGUUAUAGUCUUUUUCCUAUGCGGUAGGAGAGACUGAGGUCUGCAGUGUAGGCUAUUUGGCUAGAUACUCAGGUGCUAUGUGAUACCAUUUCAUAAACAACUUGUUGAUUAUGUUUUGUCUAUUGCAUACUCGCUUGUACUAUCAUACCUACGCUUAGGAUGUUGACUGAUAUGUAGUCGUA
rnacentral:rRNA from 1 species